CAGUAGCCACGGUAAUACAGAGGGUGCGAGCGUUAAUCGGAUUUACUGGGCGUAAAGCGUGCGUAGGCGGCUUCUUAAGUCGUAUGUGAAAUCCCUGAGCUUAACUUAGGAAUUGCAUUCGAUACUGGGAAGCUAGAGUAUGGGAGAGGAUGGUAGAAUUCCAGGUGUAGCGGUGAAAUGCGUAGAGAUCUGGAGGAAUACCGAUGGCGAAGGCAGCCAUCUGGCCUAAUACUGACGCUGAGGUACGAAAGCAUGGGGAGCAAACAGGAUUAGAUACCCCCGUAGUCCCUGUCUCUUAUAC
rnacentral:rRNA from 1 species